rnacentral:rRNA from 1 species
GACGAACGCUGGCGGCGUGCUUAAUACAUGCAAGUCUAACGAGAACGCUUUCCUUCGGGAAGGUUAUUAAAGUGGCGAACGGGUGAGUAACACGUAGGCAACUUGCCCUCAGGUGGGGAAUAACUCUGCCAACGCGGGGAUAAUACCGCAUGUGGCGAUAUAUUCGCAUGGACGUAUCGUUAAAGCGGGGGAUCUUCGGACCUCGCGCCUGAGGAUGGGCCUGCGUUCCAUUAGCUUGUUGGUGAGGUAACGGCUCACCAAGGCAUCGAUGGAUAGCCGACCUGAGAGGGUGACCGGCCACACUGGGACUGAGAUACGGCCCAGACUCCUACGGGAGGCAGCAGUAGGGAAUAUUGCGCAAUGGCCUAACGGCUGACACAGCAACGCCGCGUGAAUGAUUAAGCCCUAAGGGGUGUAAAGUUCUGUUAGGGGGGAAGAACGGCUCCGAUUAAAAUAUUUUCGGAGCGUGACGGUACCUCCAGAGAAAGCACCGGCUAACUCCGU